rnacentral:rRNA from 1 species
UACAGAGGGUGCAAGCGUUAAUCGGAAUUACUGGGCGUAAAGCGCGCGUAGGCGGUUUGUUAAGUCGGAUGUGAAAUCCCCGGGCUCAACCUGGGCAUUGCAUCCGAUACUGGCUGACUAGAGUGUGGGAGAGGAAGGUAGAAUUCCAGGUGUAGCGGUGAAAUGCGUAGAGAUCUGGAGGAAUACCGAUGGCGAAGGCAGCCUUCUGGCCUAACACUGACGCUGAAGUGCGAAAGCAUGGGGAGCAAACAGGG